rnacentral:rRNA from 1 species
UAGGGGAUCUUCCACAAUGGACGAAAGUCUGAUGGAGCAACGCCGCGUGAGUGAAGAAGGGUUUCGGCUCGUAAAACUCUGUUGUUAAAGAAGAACAUAUCUGAGAGUAACUGUUCAGGUAUUGACGGUAUUUAACCAGAAAGCCACGGCUAACUACGUGCCAC